rnacentral:lncRNA from 1 species
AGAAUCCUCAAUUUAAGAAUACCAAUGUAAUUACUGAACUUAGAAGUGAUAGGAUUCUUAAGGAUCCAUACCAAGAUCAGAUGAUAGAGGCUAGUACUGAUACUAGUCAAAAUGAGAACAUAAAGGUUAGUAUUAAGACUAACCACAUAGAAAAAUCUGAGCCCGAAAUUGGUACUGAUGCUGGUUCCAAUUUGAUUGAGAAA